CGCGUCUUCCGGGCGCGUUCGCCUUGGUGACUCUGGAUAACUUUGCGGAUCGCACGGUCUAGCACCGGCGACGGAUCAUUCAAGUGUCUGCCCUAUCAACUUUCGUCGGUACGGUAUUUGCCUACCGAGGUUCUUACGGGUGACGGGGAAUCAGGGUUCGAUUCCGGAGAGGGAGCCUGAGAAACGGCUACCACAUCCAAGGAAGGCAGCAGGCGCGCAAAUUACCCAUUCCCGACGCGGGGAGGUAGUGACGAAAAAUAACAAUGCAGGACUCGUUCGAGGCCCUGUAAUUGGAAUGAGUACACUUUAAAAGCUUUAACGAGUAUCCAUUGGAGGGCAAGUCUGGUGCCAGCAGCCGCGGUAAUUCCAGCUCCAAAAGUAUAUAUUUAAGUUGUUGCGGUUAAAAAGCUCGUAGUUGGAUUUUGGGCGCAGGCGGCCGGUCCGUCGCAAGGCGUGUACUGGACGUCCUGGCCUUCCCUCCGGUUCUCGGCCGGUGCUCUUGACUGAGUGUCGGCGGCGGCCGGAACGUUUACUUUGAAAAAAUUAGAGUGUUCAAAGCAGGCUCUCGAGCCUGGAUAAUGGUGCAUGGAAUAAUGGAAUAGGACCUCGGUUCUAUUUUGUUGGUUUUCGGAGCGCGAGGUAAUGAUUAAGAGGGACAGACGGGGGCAUUCGUACUGUGCCGUUAGAGGUGAAAUUCUUGGAUCGGCGCAAGACGAACGACUGCGAAAGCAUUUGCCAAGAAUGUUUUCUUUAAUCAAGAGCGAAAGUCAGAGGUUCGAAGACGAUCAGAUACCGUCCUAGUUCUGACUAUAAACGAUGCCAACUAGCGAUCGGGGGGCGUUACAUUGACGACCCCUCCGGCAGCUUACGGGAAACCA
rnacentral:ncRNA from 1 species